GUCAUCGUUUAUGACGUCGAAACGCUCGCGCAACUGAACAACAUACAAAUGAUAUGAACUUCAGAUAGUCCGAAUGGGAAACAGAAUUUUCAGGAAACGAAGAUCAGAAAUAACAAAAGGGACUUACAGCAGCCCUGGGCCUCAUAUGAUGACGGUUCCAAGCUCAAGGCUACCUCCAGUUAUUACGAUGUCUAUAAUUCGAAGUAUAUAUUACAUGUAUAACAAGAUAGUAGGAACACAGUCUCUUUUCACCUUCGUGCAAAC